GCCGGCUUGGCCCAGGGGUAAGGCGUGUCACUCGUAUGAAAACCCACAAGACGAAAAAAUGACAAGAUCAUCGGUUCGAAUCCGAUAGUUGGCA
rfam:Exophiala spinifera strain CBS 89968 unplaced genomic scaffold supercont1.7, whole genome shotgun sequence.